rnacentral:rRNA from 1 species
AGUUUGAUCCUGGCUCAGGAUGAACGCUGGCGGCGUGCCUAAUACAUGCAAGUCGAACGCACAGCGAAAGGUGCUUGCACCUUUCGAGUGAGUGGCGAACGGGUGAGUAACACGUGGACAACCUGCCUCAAGGCUGGGGAUAACAUUUGGAAACAGAUGCUAAUACCGAAUAAAACUCAGUGUCGCAUGACACAAAGUUAAAAGGCGCUUUGGCGUCACCUAGAGAUGGAUCCGCGGUGCAUUAGUUAGUUGGUGGGGUAAAGGCCUACCAAGACAAUGAUGCAUAGCCGAGUUGAGAGACUGAUCGGCCACAUUGGGACUGAGACACGGCCCAAACUCCUACGGGAGGCUGCAGUAGGGAAUCUUCCACAAUGGGCGAAAGCCUGAUGGAGCAACGCCGCGUGUGUGAUGAAGGCUUUCGGGUCGUAAAGCACUGUUGUAUGGGAAGAACAGCUAGAAUAGGGAAUGAUUUUAGUUUGACGGUACCAUACCAGAAAGGGACGGCUAAAUACGUGCCAGCAGCCGCGGUAAUACGUAUGUCCCGAGCGUUAUCCGGAUUUAUUGGGCGUAAAGCGAGCGCAGACGGUUGAUUAAGUCUGAUGUGAAAGCCCGGAG